rnacentral:rRNA from 2 species
GCAAGUCGAACGAUGAAACUUAAAUGAUUUCUUCGGAAUGAACUUAAGUGGAUUAGUGGCGGACGGGUGAGUAACGCGUGAGUAACCUGCCUUACACAAGGGGAUAGCCGUUGGAAACGACGAAUAAUACCCUAUGAAACUAUCACUUCGCAUGAAGCGAUAGUCAAAGUGUUAGCGGUGUAAGAUGGACUUGCGUCUGAUUAGCUAGUUGGUGAGAAAAAAGCCCACCAAGGCAACAAUCAGUAGCCGGCUUGAGAGAGUGUACGGCCACAUUGGGACUGAGACACGGCCCAGACUCCUACGGGAGGCAGCAGUGGGGAAUCUUGCACAAUGGGGGAAACCCUGAUGCAGCGACGCCGCGUGAUUUAGAAGGCCUUCGGGUUGUAAAAAUCUUUUGUAUAGGAAGAAAAUGACAGUACUAUACGAAUAAGGUCCGGCUAGUUACGUGCCAGCAGCCGCGGUAAUACGUAAGGACCGAGCGUUGUCCGGAAUCAUUGGGCGUAAAGGGUACGUAGGCGGGUCAUUAAGUUAGAAGUCAAAGGCUAUAGCUCAACUAUAGUAAGCUUCUAAAACUGGAGACCUUGAGUAAUGGAAGGGAAAGUGGAAUUCCUAGUGUAGCGGUGGAAUGCGCAGAUAUUAGGAGGAAUACCGGUGGCGAAGGCGACUUUCUGGCCAUUAACUGA